UACGUAGGGGGCAAGCGUUGUCCGGAUUUAUUGGGCGUAAAGAGCGUGUAGGCGGCCAGGUAGGUCCGUUGUGAAACCUGGAGGCUCAACCUCCAGCGGUCGAUGGAAACCAUCUGGCUAGAGUCCGGAAGAGGAGAGUGGAAUUCCUGGUGUAGCAGUGAAAUGCGUAGAUAUCAGGAGGAACACCGGUGGCGAAGGCGGAUCUCUGGGCCUGUUCUGACGCUGAGGCGCGAAAGCUAGGGGAGCGAACAGG
rnacentral:rRNA from 1 species